rfam:Xenopus tropicalis strain Nigerian Chr05_contig_3883, whole genome shotgun sequence.
GCGCUAGUAGUGUAGGGGUAUCAUGCAAGAUUCCCAUUCUGUGCGACCCGGGUCCGAGUCCCGGCUAGCGCA